rnacentral:snoRNA from 1 species
AAACCCAUUCGUCAAGUGUAGGUACACGAGGGGCAAGUUUUUCAUUAAUACUGCUGGGUCUCUGACCCAAUGAGUGGAGUUUGAUAGUAAUCCUUGCUACAAGC